CUACGGGGGGCACCAGUGGGGAAUAUUGGGCAAUGGGCGCAAGCCUGACCCAGCAACGCCGCGUGAGGGAAGAAUGUCUUCGGAUUGUAAACCUCUGUCCUUGGGGACGAAAAAAAUGACGGUACCCAAGGAGGAAGCUCCGGCUAACUACGUGCCAGCAGCCGCGGUAAUACGUAGGGAGCAAGCGUUGUCCGGAAUUAUUGGGCGUAAAGGGUGCGUAGGCGGCGCUGUAAGUCAGAUGUGAAAUCCCCGGGCUUAACUCGGGAGUUGCAUUUGAAACUACAGUGCUUGAGUAAAGAAGGGGUAAGUGGAAUUCCUAGUGUAGCGGUGGAAUGCGUAGAUAUUAGGAGGAACACCAGUGGCGAAGGCGACUUACUGGUCUUUUACUGACGCUGAGGCACGAAAGCGUGGGGAGCAAACAGGAUUAGAUACCCGGGUAGUC
rnacentral:rRNA from 1 species